rnacentral:rRNA from 1 species
AGCGAACGCUGGCGGCAGGCCUAACACAUGCAAGUCGAACGAACCUUUCGGGGAUAGUGGCGGACGGGUGAGUAACACGUGGGAACGUGCCUUUAGGUUCGGAAUAACUCAGGGAAACUUGUGCUAAUACCGAAUGUGCCCUUCGGGGGAAAGAUUAAUCGCCUUUAGAGCGGCCCGCGUCUGAUUAGCUAGUUGGUUGAGGUAAUGGCUCACCAAGGCGACGAUCAGUAGCUGGUCUGAGAGGAUGAUCAGCCACAUUGGGACUGAGACACGGCCCAAACUCCUACGGGAGGCAGCAGUUGGGAAUCUUGCGCAAUGGGCGAAAGCCUGACGCAGCCAUGCCGCGUGAAUGAGGAAGGUCUUAGGAUUGUAAAAUUCUUUCACCGGGGCCGAUAAUGACGGUACCCGGAGAAGAAGCCCCGGCUAACUUCGUG